rnacentral:pre_miRNA from 1 species
UCAAAAAUUCUCAACUUGUCUACGUGUAGUCAGUUCAAAGAUUCUCAACUUGUCUACGUGUGUUGAGAAUCUUUGAACUGACUACACGUAGACAAGUUGAGAAUCUUUGAA